GGCUCCGUAGCUCAGCCGGAUAGAGCAGUGGUUUCCUAAACCAAAGGUCGCAGGUUCGAGUCCUGCCGGGGCCACCA
rnacentral:tRNA from 3 species